CAUAAAAAAUCCAGCGCGAAGUCGUGGUGAUAGCAACGCACGCGUGAGUGAAGAAGGAUUUCGGUUCGUAAAACUCUGUUGUAAGGGAAGAACAAGUACAGUAGUAACUGGCUGUACCUUGACGGUACCUUAUUAGAAAGCCACGGCUAACUACGUGCCAGCAGCCGCGGUAAUACGUAGGUGGCAAGCGUUGUCCGGAAUUAUUGGGCGUAAAGCGCGCGCAGGUGGUUUCUUAAGUCUGAUGUGAAAGCCCACGGCUCAACCGUGGAGGGUCAUUGGAAACUGGGAGACUUGAGUGCAGAAGAGGAUAGUGGAAUUCCAAGUGUAGCGGUGAAAUGCGUAGAGAUUUGGAGGAACACCAGUGGCGAAGGCGACUAUCUGGUCUGUAACUGACACUGAGGCGCGAAAGCGUGGGGAGCAAACACGAUUAAUGACCCUGGUAGUCCACGCCGGUAAACGAUGAGUGCUAAAUGUUAGGUGGGAU
rnacentral:rRNA from 1 species